AAGGGGAACUUGUCGCCGGCAUCUUGAAUCUCAAAUCAUGAACCACAUGCAGGACUUCUUGAAGAGAUUGAGUCGACAGGUCAAACUGAUGGGAUGCAGCCAGAGGAUGAGAUGCAGGAAAACAAGUGUACAGGACCAAUGGAAGGCAAACGACAAUAUGAGCGAGUAACCAUCCCAUCCGUCAUGCAGUGGUUGAGCGGCCAAGCCCAC